rnacentral:rRNA from 1 species
CCCUUAGAUGUCCUGGGCCGCACGCGCGCUACACUGAGUGUCUGAGAUACGAGUCUGCCUGGUCCGGCAAGGUCUAGGUAAUCGCUAAAAGACACAUCAUGCUUGGGAUAGAUUAUUGCAAAUAUUAAUCUUGAACGAGGAAUUCCUAGUAAGCGCAAGUCGACAGCUUGCGUUGAUUACGUCCCUGCCCUUUGUACACACCGCCCGUCGCUACUACUGAUUGGAUGUUUAAGCGAGGUUCUCGAACUGCUAGCGACUUAGCUUCGGUGAGGUCGCAGUGUGGGAAGUGAACCUAGCUUUGGUGUCUAGAGGAAGUAAAAGUCGUAACA